UGCACUGAGUUGGCUUUAGGGUCCCUUGUG
rnacentral:piRNA from 1 species